GAUGAACGCUGGCGGCGUGCCUAAUACAUGCAAGUCGAGCGAACAGACGAGUAGCUUGCUCCUCUGACGUUAGCGGCGGACGGGUGAGUAACACGUGGAUAACCUACCUAUAGGACUGGGAUAACUUCGGAAAACCGGAGCUAAUACCGGAUAAUAUAUUGAACCGCAUGGUUCAAUAGUGAAAUACGGUUUUGCUGUCACUUAUAGAUGGAUCCGCGCCUGAUUAGCUAGUUGGUAUGGUAACGGCUUACCAAGGCAACGAUGCGUAGCCGAUCUGAGAGGGUGAUCGGCCACACUGGAACUGAGACACGGCCCAGACUCCUACGGGAGGCAGCAGUAGGGAAUUUUGCGCAAUGGGCGAAAGCCUGACGGAGCAAUGCCGCGUGAGUGAUGAAGGUCUUCGGAUUGUAAAACUCUGUUAUCAGGGAAGAAAAACUGUGUAAGUAAAUAUGCACGUCUUGACGGUACCUAAUCAGAAAGCAACGGCUAACUACGUG
rnacentral:rRNA from 1 species